rnacentral:lncRNA from 1 species
AUAUGUUGAAUUUGCACUGCUAGCAAGCAAGAACUUAAGUCACACACAUACCCAGAGCCAGGCCCUCAGGAAUAUUUCUCAACCUUUAUGCUUUACUCUUCUCCAGAUAGUAAAACACCUACAAAAUAUCAUCAGGCCUUGUUCUUCAGCAUGACAAAAUGUCCUGCUUCUUGCCUCUGUGAACAAGGGGGACUGAGAUUGUAUCUCCUUUCCACAAGAGCCCUUGGGAUCAACACCUAUGGAAGGGAAGGGAGGAAUGGAAAAAAGGGGAGCUGAGCUGGGAUGCAGAUCUGCUAGAUGCCUCAGACAACCCUGCGGGGAGUUAUGGAGAUGGAAUGCCCUUUAGAAUUGUCCAGGGUUCAGGAGACAGGGGAGGCCUUUUUAUACCUGCAUCACCUA